AAUAUUCAGCUCACUCCUCUGCAGAAGUACAGAGCUGCAGGAGAAGACGUUCAUUUGGUUACAAUGGCUGAGAAAAUGCAGUCAGCGUUACUUAUAACUGCUCACCCCGCUAGAUAUGGCUGUGAUGAAAUAGGCUCUGAUAAAGAAAUAAGGCAGACCCAAAUCAACAUCGGUGCAGGGUUUGAGCAGUGGAGACAAAUGGGGCAUGUGGAGGGCCUGAAAAGUGAUGCAGAGGUUGUUCUCUUUCUGUUGGACAGGGAUUUCCAAGACAGCUGUAUGGAAAUGACUGUGGCAUCUUCAUGUUGAUGGUGGACUUGCCAGUUCUGGAAAGCGGUGGUGUGUUAUGCUAAUGGAGAACUCCGACCUUGGAAGCCAUGGCAAAAUGUUUGCCCACUGGACAGACACUUGAUGAGGUGAGAUGAGGUGUCACCAGUCUUCAGACUGAAGAAGAGGAGGAUGGAUGACAUCACUGAGGUCAGAUUCUGGGUAUGCAAAUCAGGUACUGUAGGUUUGUUUAGAAGUACCCCCCACUGGAAUGCUCAGAGGGGCUUUUUGAUAAGUUCCCACAGUGGCACAUGUUGUAAUAAGUGAAUAUACAGCCUGGGGGAGCGUUCAGGCUGGAGAAACUUGGACUAAAGAACAAAGAAAUCAUUCAAGUUGGGUGUUAUUUUCCUUUGAGAAUACUAUUACCAAAAUGUUUCAUUUUUCUUAUUUGAUCCACCACUCGGUCAUUAAAAUUAUUAAUAUUAAUAUGAUUAUUAUUAUUAUUAUUAUUAUUAUUUAGGUUUACUUUGGCAAUGUUUACUUAACAUAUUCUUCAUCAGUAUUAUCAGUAUCUACAUCUAUCAGGGUGGAUUAGUUUCUUGGUGGCAUCAUUGCUUGUAUGUGGAUAUUAAAAAGUGAUGUUGAAUUAUUUUCUUUUUCUGUCUUUUUAGUAAGAGGAGCAACUACAAGGCACAGCCUUAGCAAGCCAGUGUGUCCAUUGCAAAAGCGUCUGAGACAACAGUGGAAGCAGUAGGCGCAUUAUCCUGUUCUAUACUGGGAUUAAUAUGAUGACAAACUACUUGUGAAGUGUCAUUUUGCCACAUUCUAUGCUCUGUGCUUCAGUAUACUAUAUAUGUAAGAUGUAGAUCACAAAUGAAGGAAUACAAUAUGUUAUCUUUAUGUGAAUCAUGGAGGUGAUGAUACUGUUUGUGUAGCAGUUAUGCUAUAUGAAGACAACCUUUUUUCUUUCUGUCCUUUCCAUAGGACAAAUUUAAGAUUAUGCAUGGCUGCAAAAGGGCAGCAGAAUGGGUAGAAACAAACCAGCAUUUGUUUUCAGGCAAGGUGGAGUUGCCUGAUGCAGUGCAGAUGGGAGAGGGGGACUUUGGGUUGAGGAGGAGAGUGUGAGAGUGUGACCAGGAAAGAGAAGGCAUCUUGGAGCCAUUCAAAUUUCUGUUCUCCAGAAUUGAAGACAUGGACAUUUAGUGAGGAGAUGAGUGAUAAACAAGGCUACUUGACAUAGUGCGAAUGUCAAAUUGAUGGUUGAUGGCCUUGUAGGGCACUACUGCUGUGCUGAAUAAAGGGCAGCUGAUUGUUUGAUCAUUUUGUCAUUUUAUGUGUGUUUUUUUUAAUCAAGCACCAAAUAAUUAACGUUGAUUAUACCAUGAAGAAAACUGGUAAGUUAAUGCAUUUUAAGAUAAUGAAU